AGAGAGGGCUGCUCCUGGCUUCCUUGUGGUCCGCUCACAUCUCUCCUAUGUCAGGAGGCAUCACGUGCUAUAAAUACUACCCACACCAGCAUGCUUGCCAGAGAAUUGAGGAAAGAAAAUUUCUUGAUCAGAUUGUUUUUCCAGUGCCCCCUGAAGAAGAUCCAUUAUUCAGGGUAUCACUUCAGAAGCACAAGAAACCGUGACAAAAAUUUUCAAUUUUGAGUGUAUGACUUCAAACUCUUCCCUCUGAGAGCUUCUAGAAUCAGACCACAUUGACAUAAAG
rnacentral:lncRNA from 1 species